AGAGUUUGAUCAUGGCUCAGGAUGAACGCUGGCGGCGUGCUUAACACAUGCAAGUCGAGCGAACGAAGAGGAGCUUGCUCCUCUGAGUGAGUGGCGGACGGGUGAGUAACGCGUGGGUAACCCGCCCUAUAGAGGGGGAUAACGUUUGGAAACGAACGCUAAUACCGCAUAAACUAUGGAUUACCGCAUGGUAAUUAUAGCAAAGAUUUAUCACUAUAGGAUGGACCCGCGUUGGAUUAGCUAGUUGGUGAGAUAACAGCCCACCAAGGCAACGAUCCAUAGCCGGCCUGAGAGGGUGAACGGCCACAUUGGGACUGAGACACGGCCCAAACUCCUACGGGAGGCAGCAGUGGGGAAUAUUGCACAAUGGGCGAAAGCCUGAUGCAGCGACGCCGCGUGAAGGAAGAAGGUCUUCGGAUUGUAAACUUCUAUCAGCAGGGAAGAAUAAAUGACGGUACCUGACUAAGAAGCUCCGGCUAACUACGUGCCAGCAGCCGCGGUAAUACGUAGGGAGCGAGCGUUAUCCGGAUUUACUGGGUGUAAAGGGUGCGUAGGCGGCUUGGUAAGUCAGAAGUGAAAUUUUGGGGCUCAACCCCAAAUCUGCUUCUGAAACUGCCGAGCUAGAGUAUAGGAGAGGAAAGCGGAACUCCACGUGUAGCGGUGAAAUGCGUAGAGAUGUGGAGGAACACCAGUAGCGAAGGCGGCUUUCUGGACUAUUACUGACGCUGAGGCACGAAAGCGUGGGGAGCAAACAGGAUUAGAUACCCUGGUAGUCCACGCUGUAAACGAUGAAUGCUAGGUGUCGGGCCUUACGGGGUUCGGUGCCGAAGUUAACACAUUAAGCAUUCCACCUGGAAAGUACGACCGCAAGGGUUGAAACUCAAAUGAAUUUGACGGAAUAUGAAUUUGACGGAAUCU
rnacentral:rRNA from 1 species